CAUCCCCCAAGACAAUACCAGCUCCACGCCCCCACUCCCCCCGACCCCGUCAUCACUGAUCUUACGGGGUACUUGAAGCUCGCCCAGGCCCUCACCAGCAGGCAGGUCAUCAUGGCCUCCUAGCAGCCUGCCCCAGCAAGGAACAGAUUAGGAGUCCUGAUUUAAAGAGGAAACGGACUCAAGAGAGGUUGAGUGACCUGCCCCCGGCCACACGGGAAGAGCUGUCCUUUUAAGACUUCUGCCAAAGGGGCCUUGGUCCGUGGGCUGAGGUUCUCUGCAACUCAGAAGUAAGAAUGGGGAGGGGAGGACCUCUAUUUCUGAUCUAGCCAGAGCUGAGGGCCUCUGGUCUACCCUGGGAGGUCCGGCUCCAUGGGUUAUGCCCCACCUUUGAAAAGGGAGAGGAGGAAGAAGGCGUUGUGGGCACCACCCCAAAGUGAUUUGGAGAAGGGAAACAUUUCCUCUUUCCACAGACACUACCCCUCAAAGGGUGGUCAGGCCUGCACUGGCACAUCCCCAUGGGCACAGGGCCCUUGGCAUGGGCACACACUAUGUCUCAGGUCUGGGCCAGCCUAGAGGACAGGCUUCCGUCCCGGAGUCCCCUCCCCCAGCCCAUGCUGGGAUCUGGCCCUGAGGGGGUCUGUACACUACCAGUGCUUCGAGAUAAAAGGUGAGGGGGCCCCAUUUUCAUUCAAAACUCCAUCCAACAGUCUUUCGGCUGACUCUGCAUUUUGGACCCCAGGAAGGGCACUGCUAGCAGUUCCCCCGCCCCCUGGGCUCUCUCUCCUAUUGUCCAGGGAAAGAGUGGGCAGGAGAGGGAGUGGCAGAGGAGAGGAAGUCUCCCCAGGCUCCCCCAGACCAUAGAGCCGCUCCCCCGUUUCUAGGCAUAGAUAGCAAAUGUGUGGAUGGAAACGAAAAGUCUGGACCCGGUCUUUCGGGGCUCCCAUCCCCAGUUCCUCUCCCCGUGGCUUCCAGCUUCCCUGCCCCCACUCCACAAAUGGAAACAAAAUAAGAAUAAGAAUGUGGCUUUUACACUCGGUUCCUCCAGUGUCUGUCUGGAGAUGGGGGGAGGCUGGCCCGCUGAGCUCUGCAAACUCCCGGGGCUGCAGUGGGCUGAUUCGGGGGCGGGGACGGGCGGGGGGCGGACAGAAAGAGGAAUCAAUAAGUGAACACCUCCCUCCAGGUCCUUGGUCAGAGAAGUGGCCACAAGUGCCCCCACAGGACUUCCCACUAUAAGGGGAAGUGCCCACUCCCAG
rnacentral:lncRNA from 1 species